UUCUUUUUUUUUUUUUUUUGUGCCCAAAUUGUAUCCAACACAUUCAAUAUCACAUCUUGGUGAAAGCAAAUAACUUAUCACUCUUAUUUUUUGAGAAAACUCAGUCAACAUAUAAGCUGUAUAGGCUUGUAAUAUAUGGGUAGAAACGAUAGCUAAACAUAUGAAAACAGGUUAUGGUCUUAUGAUCAUGAGUGAUUGGUAGAUUCCUUAGAGACAAUAUUUUCACUUCAAAUUGUCAUGAAAAAUAAGUCAACAAUGGACUUUAUGAACUUGUAAUGUGGCUUGACAACGAUAGCUAAAAAAAAUAAAAUUUUCAAGGACAAUGCACUUAAGAUCGCACUUCUUCCCAAAAUUUGCCCCAGUUUUGGAUUUAAAAUCCGGGACACCAUUUUGACUCUCUUUUUUUUUUUAAUCAAUCACUAGAGGGAAUUCAACAUUGGAUGUCUUCACAUUUUUCUUUUUUUUUCAUUUUCAUCAUUUUUCAUUUUUUCACAUUUUUCUUUUCUCUCUUUUUC
rnacentral:lncRNA from 1 species